GAAACAAUAAAAAUAUAUGUGCGUACAGUCGAGGCGUCUACGGCGUUUUUUUUUGUUUAUUAUCUAUAUAUUUAACCAGGCGUGCUUAAUUUUCUAGCGCCACUCACAAUCUGGCCGAUGAAUUGAUUAGUAUAGCUCUAAAACUAGAAAAAAAACUUCAUUAGCACUUUUUUUUUUCGAACGAUAUCUGCUUUGGAUUUUUGUACUAAUGGAACAUAAAGUACUGACUAUUAGCGUUCAGAAAAAAGAUGAAACUAAUAGUGGAAUAGGAGGAGGAGGAGGAGGAGAAGGAGGAAAAGGAGGUUCAAGCAUUCAAGAAAGAAGAAUGAAAGGUAAAUUCCAUGGUAUUGCUUUAAGAAUUCUUGCCAAAGUUAUGGCAGGAGAGAAGCUUGACGUAGAGGAAGAGAAGGAAGAAAAACGGAAGAUAACUUCCUCGUCACAAAAAAUUGAGAAUAUUUCACCGAAAUCGCCAAAAACUCCAAAAACACCUCUUACACCAAAACGAACUGAGUCCAGAAAACAAUUAUAUAGACGUAAAGGCGUAGAUUUUCGUAAUGUUGUACGAUUAGCAAGUAUGAAACACUUCAAUAGAGUUUUAGGUACAACAACAGAAAAAAAUGAAGUACUUGAAGAGGAUAGCCUGCCGAAGUUGCCUCCAAGACCUCGUUUUUCAGCCACUUUAUCACCGGAAGCUCAAUUAGUUACUUUAAUGUGUUAUGAGGAGGCGAUCAGUGAGAAAUUAUCAACAACUAAUAAUCAACCUAAGAAUGAGAAAAGAUUAUUAAAUAAAAGAUCAAGCAUUGACGAUCAGAGGAGACUUUUAGUCUCUUCAAGAGUAGAAAGAGCAAUGAGUUUACUUGAUAUAGCUAAAAAAGAGGAUACUAAAGUACUCAGACAUUUUAAAUCAUGGACUUUGGCAUGGAGUAAAGAUUUCGAAUAAAACUUUUCUCCCCAUUUCCUUUCUCAUUUAAUAUUAAAAUACCUAAAAAUUCUUUCUUAUCGUUUUUUUUUAAAUCAAAGAUUUUACCUUUCACAGAAAUCAUUUAAUAAUUUAUUGGUUUUAAAUAAAUAACAGUAAUGAUAAUAAGAGAGAAAAACUGCAAAGGGUUAUAAUCAUAAUUAAAUUAAAACUCUUAAUUAUAUUCAUCCUAAUCGACCGAUUAGAUAGGUGUUAGAAAAUUAUUAAAAAUCACAGAUACCCUUAUUGCCCUUAUUUGAAUAGCAAAAGAAAAAAAAACACAGGAUAUUAAUUUAAUAAAGUAAAAACUUUUAGCUGAUACAAAAGUGAUGAUGAGAUAAAAAGAAAAUGCGCGUGUAAGUUAGAAUUCAUUUGCUUCUUCCAUUUUUAGCUAUCUAUCAGUAUUUCUUCUCUCUUUUCUUUUAUUGUUCGUCCUUUUUUUUUCCUCUUGUACUAUUUUUUUAUUCCAUGAUGAAUUCGAAAAACUGCGCCGUUUUAAUCGAUUUGAAUGACUUCUAAGAAACGGAAGAGAGAAAGCUAAGCAGACUAGCAACGACGAUCUUGCAGUACCACCUCAAGAAUCUUUUCUAUAUUUUUUCUGUUGUCUAUAUUUUACCUUUUUUUCAUACAAACUCCAGUAAUUUUCAUUUACAAAAAUUCCUUUUUUCAUACAGAACAUUAGAAAAUUUUCCUUAAUGGCACCACAAUAGAAUUAAGAGCGAUAUUGUAAGAACAGUGUAUUAUGGAAAAGGCCAAAUCUUUAAAUACUUUAAAUUAGAUUAAAAAAAUAAGAAAAAGUAAUGAGAAAACGAGAUCGAUUGAAAGAAAUUAAGAAGAAAAAUCCUUGAAGAGUUCAUUAUGUAAAUUAGUUGUACAAAAUCAUUAAUUUUCAACUUCUAUUCUAAUAUUAUGUAAAAAUUACGUUAGAUAAACAGUCUAUUUGCAUAUUUAAUGAAAAUGUGAUAGGAAGAAAUAUUAUCAAGCUUUUUUAAAAUACUAUCGGAUGUAUUUUAUUAAUGUGUCUACUAUAACUCGACAGAUGAUAGUAGUUGUUGUGAGUAUCUAGUUUGUUGACAAUUGACCGUUGAAGGUUACUUUUCCAGAAACAGUCUCGUUUACUCUAUCCAAUUCAAAAUCAAGUUUUAUACUAAUAAAACAGUAAAUCUAUUCUAGAACAAAAGGCUAAAAAUAUCGCAAACAAUUAAUGACCUUUUCUAGGUUCUUUUUUUUACGUCCACUACUUAGCCUAUUACAUAAUGCAAAGUAUAACAUGUUACAAAAAAACACACUAUCGACAUCUAUUGGAAGUCCUAUACUAGAAUUAAUAUAAUUAUUAUUCUAGACAGGUCAAACUAAAGUCCAGAGAGAAUGUUGUGUCAUGUUUUGUAAAGAAUAAUGUAUAAUAAUCUUUAACAAAUCUCCCAAUGGCUUUUUCUAAAUUAUCAUUAGUUUACCAAGAGAGAAUAAAACAUCAAAAGAUAGAUCAUUUUAGAAAAAUUUUUUCUUCUUUUUUGUAACGGAUAUUGUAAUUUCAUGGUUUUAACAAUUGUUGCAAUUUUAUCGAUUACUUUACUUAUUGUCCUUAUCCUAUUCUCUUUAUUCAAAAGUGUCUGACUAUUUAUAUAAUCAUAUUCGUCUUUUUUUUUCAAAUGUAACAACUCUAGUAAACCAAAUAUAUAGAGCUAAUAAACAAAAAAACAUACAUUUUGAUAUAAUAGACACAAAAAAUCCCCAGUGAAAAAGUUACUUUUAAAUUGAAGGAAGAUUGAUUUCCUUAUGAUCGAUUCCAUUGACUUAUAAUUUC
rnacentral:misc_RNA from 1 species